AUAGCGAAGAGGUCACACCCGUUCCCAUACCGAACACGGAAGUUAAGCUCUUUAGCGCCAAUGGUAGUUGGGACUUUGUCCCUGUGAGAGUAGGACGUUGCCA
rnacentral:rRNA from 1 species